UUACAAAAUGCUACAACCCGACUGGGGGAUGGCUCGGCUCGAGAGCCGACGAAGGUCGUGACAAGCUGCGAAAAGUCGCGGGGAGAGGCAUGAAUCUCAUGGAUCCGCGAAUUGCCGAAUGGGACCUCCUGGCGCUAUGCGCCAUUCCACAAAUGGAAAGGGAACCCCCUGAACUGAAGCAUCUCAGUAGGGGGAGGAAAAGAAAUCAAACGAGAUUCCGUUAGUAGUGGCGAAUGAACACGGAAUCGGACAAACCGAAUCUCUCGGGGAAACCCGAGAGAGAUGUGGUGUAUGGACUGUCUCAGCCUAAAACAUCGAAAUGGAAAUCGCCUGGAACGGCGUGCCACAGAGGGUGAAAGCCCCGUACAUGCAGAUGUGAUGGCUUUGUGACAGAUUCCUGAGUAGCGUGCGUUGGAUAUCGCGCGUGAAUAUGGGGGGCAUAAACCUCCA
rnacentral:rRNA from 1 species